UCGGUGCUUGCUUGGAAGCC
rnacentral:misc_RNA from 1 species